rnacentral:rRNA from 1 species
CCUACGGGAGGCAGCAGUGAGGAAUAUUGGUCAAUGGGCGCGAGCCUGAACCAGCCAAGUAGCGUGAAGGAUGACUGCCCUAUGGGUUGUAAACUUCUUUUAUAUGGGAAUAAAGUGCAGUAUGUAUACUGCUUUGCAUGUACCUUAUGAAUAAGGAUCGGCUAACUCCGUGCCAGCAGCCGCGGUAAUACGGUGGAUGCGAGCGUUAUCCGGAUUCAUUGGGUUUAAAGGGUGCGCAGGCGGGCCUUUAAGCCGGCGGUGAAAUCGCGGGGCUCAACCCCGCCGAGCCGUCGGAACUGGGGGCCUUGAGUGCGGCGGAGGCAUGCGGAAUGCGCGGUGUAGCGGUGAAAUGCAUAGAUAUCGCGCAGAACUCCGAUUGCGAAGGCAGCCUGCUGGACUGUAACUGACGCUGAUGCUCGAAAGUGUGGGUAUCAAACAGGAUUAGAUACCCUUGUAGUC